rnacentral:rRNA from 1 species
GCUCCAGACUCCUACGGGAGGCAGCAGUGAGGAAUAUUGGUCAAUGGGCGAGAGCCUGAACCAGCCAAGUCGCGUGAAGGAUGACGGCCCUACGGGUUGUAAACUUCUUUUGUCAGGGAGCAAUUGAGUCCACGUGUGGGCUUAGCGAGAGUACCUGAAGAAAAAGCAUCGGCUAACUCCGUGCCAGCAGCCGCGGUAAUACGGAGGAUGCGAGCGUUAUCCGGAUUUAUUGGGUUUAAAGGGUGCGUAGGCGGAAUAUCAAGUCAGCGGUAAAAAUUCGGGGCUCAACCCCGUCGUGCCGUUGAAACUGAUGUUCUUGAGUGGGCGAGAAGUAUGCGGAAUGCGUGGUGUAGCGGUGAAAUGCGUAGAUAUUAGGAGGAACACCAGUGGCGAAGGCGGUCUGCUGGACAGCAACUGACGCUGAGGCGCGAAAGCGUGGGGAGCAAACAGGAUUAGAUACCCGCGUA